CAAGAGAGUUCACUCAUCAGGUCAAAGUUGGUCUGUCCUGAUGGCACUACCUGCUGCUUGAUGAUGUCUAGUAGCCAUCGCUGCUGCCUUCAACGCGGUAGUCCUCACAAAUAAACUGAUAUCAAGAAUUAACAUAGAUGGUGAUGGUGGCAAGUGAAGGUGCCACCCAGCAGUCCCAGCCUGCUUUUGCAAGCCGAUGGGGGAUGAUCUAUGUUAAGGUCGUGUAA